UUUGCUUCUUAAUCAGAUGGUUACUGUUCCAGUUGAUACUUGUGCUUCUUCCUGUGUUGCUUAAAGAAUAUUUGCCUCCAUGGUGCCUGUAUUAUACCUGUUAAGGCGUUUCCUCAUAUACUUGGAUAAAAUCAUGGACAUGGCCACAGCUGGGUGUGGUGAUAUUCCUUGUCAGCCAGAAGAGCAGUGCCAGCAUGAGCAGACACCUAACACUGUUGGAACUAGUAAAGAGUUGUGUUUUCUCCACUCCUUAUAUGACCUGCAAAACUGUGUGAAAGAUCAGCAUAAAGAAGUACUGAACCAGUUCAAAGGGAAAAUCUGUUUUGGUUGUGUUGGCUUUUGGGAAAUGUAGCUUUUUUUCCUGGAAAGCUGGACUGAUUAUACACCCACAUCUCUGUAGCCAGCCCUUCAGACCAAACAUUUUCUCUAUGUGCCUGUCCCCAAACCAAACCAGUUUCAUAUGGCUUCUGUAGUGAAUGAGAUGGAGUGAGUCAGUAAAGAUUGACUGUGUUUUGACUACUACAUACUGCACUGACACACUGCAGUGUGGAGAGCUUGCUUAGUUGGAUUUAAAGACUCUUGGAACUUUUCAAGGUAAGAAAGGAUGUAAUUUGGA